AGUUUUGGUGUCUAAACCGAACCAAACUGGGACCGUUUCACAAUGUUAACGACGUGUUUAAAACCACCACGUUACCUAGAAUGCUCCUGUGGGACGUAUCGGGGGGGGGGGGGACAAACGACAGAUAUAGUCGUAUGGUUUGGAGGACUUGUUGGUUUGACCUGAACACGUUUAAAACAUGUUCAGCAAAGUGAAGCUGCAAAACUACUUUUCUGCAGAAAAACU